rnacentral:rRNA from 1 species
GACGAACGCUGGCGGCGCGCCUAACACAUGCAAGUCGAACGGAGUGGCGAACGGGUGAGUAACGCGUGAGUAACCUGCCCUAGAGUGGGGGACAACAGUUGGAAACGACUGCUAAUACCGCAUACUUUAGGAUGGACUCGCGUCCAAUUAGCUAGUUGGUGAGGUAACGGCCCACCAAGGCGACGAUUGGUAGCCGGACUGAGAGGUUGAACGGCCACAUUGGGACUGAGACACGGCCCAGACUCCUACGGGAGGCAGCAGUGGGGGAUAUUGCACAAUGGGGGAAACCCUGAUGCAGCGACGCCGCGUGGAGGAAGAAGGUUUUCGGAUUGUAAACUCCUGUCGUUAGGGACGCGGUACCUAACAAGAAAGCACCGGCUAACUACGUGCCAGCAGCCGCGGUAAAACGUAGGGUGCAAGCGUUGUCCGGAAUUACUGGGUGUAAAGGGAGCGCAGGCGGGAAGACAAGUUGGAAGUGAAAACCAUGGGCUCAACCCAUGAAUUGCUUUCAAAACUGUUUUUCUUGAGUAGUGCAGAGGUAGAUGGAAUUCCCGGUGUAGCGGUGGAAUGCGUAGAUAUCGGGAGGAACACCAGUGGCGAAGGCGGUCUACUGGGCACCAACUGACGCUGAGGCUCGAAAGCAUGGGUAGCAAACAGGAUUAGAUACCCUGGUAGUCCAUGCCGUAAACGAUGAUUACUAGGUGUUGGGCAGUGCCGCAGUUAACACAAUAAGUAAUCCACCUGGGGAGUACGACCGCAAGGUUGCAACUCAAAUGAAUUGACGGA